rnacentral:lncRNA from 1 species
AUGUCAGUGUCACAGGGUCACCAUGUCGGUGUCACAGGGUCACCGUGUCAGUGUCAGACUCAGUGUCCCCGUGUCAGUGUCACAGAGUCAGUGUCACCGUGUCAGUGUCACAAAUGUCAGUGUAACAGCGUCACCCUGUCAGUGUCACACAUGUCAGUGUCACCGUGUCAGUGUCACAAAUGUCAGUGUCACAGCGUCACUAUGUCAGUGUCACACAUGUCAGUGUCACAGUGUCCCCGUGUCGUUAUCCCUGUGUCAGUGUCCCCAUGUCAGUGUCACCAUGUCAGUGUCCCCGUGUCAGUGUCCCCAUGUCACUGUCCCCGUGUCAGUGUCACAGUGUCCCCGUGUCAGCGUCCCCGUGUCACUGUCCCCAUGUCACAGUGUCCCCCGUGUCCCCAGAGCAGCGCCAGCCUCGAGCCGCUGUGCAAGGGGGACACCUGGUGGUGGCACGGCCUCGUCACAGCCAGCCCCGCCCGGCGACACCGCCCGCGACCGCCACCCGGUGCCACCUGCAUGGACACCCAGGGCCACCUCCAUGGGACACCCAGUGCCACCCCCAUGGGGACACCCAGUGCCACCUCCAUGGGACACCCAGUGCCACCUCCAUGGGACACCCGGUGCCACCUGCAUGGGACACCCAGGGCCACCUGCAUGGACACCCAGUGUCACCUGCAUGGGACACCCAGGGCCACCUCCAUGGGACACACAGUGCCACUCCCAUGGGACACCCAGUGCCACCUCCAUGGGACACCCAGUGCCACUCCCAUGGGACACACAGUGCCACCUCCAUGGGACACCCAGUGCCACUCCCAUGGGACACACAGUGCCACCUCCAUGGUGACACCCAGUGCCACUCCCAUGGGACACCCAGUGCCACCUCCAUGGGACACCCAGUGCCACCUCCAUGGGACACCCAGUGCCACUCCCAUGGGACACCCAGUGCCACCUCCAUGGGACACACAGUGCCACCUCCAUGGGACACCCAGUGCCACCUCCAUGGGACACCCAGUGCCACCUCCAUGGACACCCAGUGCCACCUGCAUGGGACACCCAGUGCCACCUCCAUGGGACACCCAGUGCCACUCCCAUGGGACACACAGUGCCACUUCCAUGGGACACCCAGUGCCACCUCCAUGGGACACCCAGUGCCACUCCCAUGGGACACCCAGUGCCACCUGCAUGGACACCCAGUGCCACCUCCAUGGGGACACCCAGUUCCACUCCCAUGGGACACCCAGUGCCACCUCCAUGGGGACACCCAGUGCCACUCCCAUGGGACACACAGUGCCACCUGCAUGGGACACCCAGUGCCACCUGCAUGGGACACACAGUGCCACCUACAUGGGACACCCAGUGCCACUCCCAUGGGACACCCAGUGCCACCUCCGUGGGGACACCCAGUGCCACCUCCGUGGGGACACCCAGUGCCACCUGCAUGGGACACCCAGUGCCACCUGCAUGGGACACCCAGUGCCACCUGCAUGGACACCCAGUGCCACCUCCAUGGGGACACCCAGUGCCACCUCCAUGGGACACCCAGUGCCACCUGCAUGGACACCCAGUGCCACCCGCAUGGGACACACAGUGCCACCUGCAUGGGACACCCAGUGCCACCUCCAUGGGACACCCAGUGCCACCUGCAUGGGACACCCAGUGCCACCUGCAUGGGACACACAGUGUCACCUCCAUGGGGACACCCAGUGCCACCUCCGUGGGGACACCCAGUGCCACCUCCGUGGGGACACCCAGUGCCACCUGCAUGGGACACCCAGUGCCACCUCCAUGGGACACCCAGUGCCACCUCCGUGGGGACACCCAGUGCCACCUGCAUGGACACCCAGUGUCACCUCCACGGGGACACCCAGUGCCACCUACAUGGGACACCCAGUGCCACCUGCAUGGACACCCAGUGUCACCUCCACGGGGACACCCAGUGCCACCUGCAUGGGACACCCAGUGUCACCUCCAUGGGACACCCAGUGCCACCCGCAUGGGACACCCAGGGCCACCUCCAUGGGACACCCAGUGCCACCCGCAUGGGACACCCAGUGCCACCUCCAUGGGACACCCAGUGCCACCUACAUGGGACACCCAGUGCCACCUGCAUGGACACCCAGUGUCACCUCCAUGAGAAACCCAGUGCCACCUGCAUGGGACACCCAGUGCCACCUGCAUGGGGACACCCAGUGCCACCUCCAUGGGACACCCAGUGCCACCUACAUGGGACACCCAGUGCCACCUCCGUGGGACACCCAGUGCCACCUGCAUGGGGCACCCAGUGCCACCUCCGUGGGUCCCUCCAUGUCCCCAAAUUCCCUGGACAAUGUCACCUUUGGGGACACCCUUGAUGCCACGGAAUUCCGGAAUUCCCAGCUCCAACCAGGAAUCUCAAAGGUUGUGAUGGGGACAGGGCCAGGUGCCACCUCCAUGGGCCGGUGUCCCCAUGUCCCCAAAAUCCUGGGAAAGGCUGGAAAAGGGAUCCCAAUCCCGGCUGGUGGCUUGGGGCUGGAUGGGGCAGCCUUGGGAGCGAGGAAUCUGAAUGGAAUCCAUGGAAUGCUCAGAUCCCAGGAAUUUCAUCCAUGGAAAACAUUCCUGGGGUGA